CAAUCAUGAGCUUGUCUGAUAUGGGUCUGACCCUCUCAGUUCUAAAGACUGCUUAAUGAAGACUCCAAUAUGACAAACAAGUUCAGGGAUGGGGUUUAGAAUGUGUUUUAGUUUGUUAAAUGUAUCAAGAUGUUGAAAUAAUGGUACAUAUUCUUUUAGAUAAGCAAAAAGAUUAGAACGCAAUGAUAUGUUAAUGUCAUCAUACAAAAAGAAAUGAAAUUCGUCAUCUAGGACUCCACAUUUUUUACAUAAUCUUUGUGCUCUUGGAAUGUUUCUGUACCUUCCCAAUUCAAUGCCUAGAGAAUGAUCACUCAGUCUAAAUUUUGAGAGUAACUGUCUAUGUAUAAAAUUAUUGCAGUUUAAAUAUUCCUCAGACUAACAAUUAGUUUUUAACUUCCCAUAAAGACAAAGUUUGGAUGAGGAAUCCAAUUUUGAAAGUUUAUUUAAAGUAGUGUUUUCAUAUUCCUCUGAAACAC
rnacentral:lncRNA from 1 species